AACGAACGCUGGCGGCAUGCCUAACACAUGCAAGUCGAACGAGAUCUUCGGGUCUAGUGGCGCACGGGUGCGUAACGCGUGGGAAUCUGCCCUUUGGUUCGGAAUAACAGUUGGAAACGACUGCUAAUACCGGAUGAUGACGAAAGUCCAAAGAUUUAUCGCCAGAGGAUGAGCCCGCGUAGGAUUAGCUAGUUGGUGGGGUAAAGGCGCACCAAGGCGACGAUACUUAGCUGGUCUGAGAGGACGAUCAGCCACACUGGGACUGAGACACGACGAAGAAUCCGACGGGAGGCAGCAGUGGGGAAUAUUGGAAAAUGGGCGAAAGCCUGAUCCAGCAACGCCGCGUGAGUGAUGAAGGCCUUAGGGUUGUAAAGCUCUUUUACCCGGGAUGAUAAUGACAGUACCGGGAGAAUAAGCUCCGGCUAACUCCGUGCCAGCAGCCGCCGUAA
rnacentral:rRNA from 1 species